AUAAUACUCCCUAUGUCCUGAAUUACUUGUCGCAGAACUGGAUAAAUGGAUGUAUUUAAAACUAAAAUACGCCUACAUACAUCCAUUUCUGCGACAAGUAAUUCUGGACGGAGGGAGUACAUC
rfam:Triticum aestivum genome assembly, contig: Triticum_aestivum_CS42_TGACv1_scaffold_407059_5BL